rnacentral:ncRNA from 1 species
CAGAGGCGCGAAGCGCAUCAGUACCUUGCUUUUUUCCAACGCCCAGCCGGGGCACGGGGCAAGCGAAAGGGUCCUUCGCCGAAGGCGGUACGCGGCACGUACCGGCCUGGGCCCGCGGCCGAACAGGCGCGGGACUGUCACACCUGCGGUGUGUUGCG